rnacentral:rRNA from 1 species
UUUCACUGAAACAAGGGGAAAGCUCAAAUGGGGUGUUGGCCCCGAGGCAGCAGUAAAGAAUUUUGUGCAAUAUACGAAAGUAAGACACAGAGAGGGCACCUUUUCUAGUCCGUCAAAUUAAGUGCCAGCAGACGCGGUGAAACUUAAGGGCUAGUCUUAUAGGCAAAAGCGUAAAGGGUGUGAUAGGCCGCCUUAUUUAAGAGAGUAAAUGGAAUUUUUCUGUAAUGGUGGUAUGUGUAAAUAGGAAAAAGAACUUUGGACGUGAAGACUAUUUACUUCUAAGAUUAUAAUGUGUUGGCUAAAACACGAGAGUGUGGGGAGCAAACAGGAUUAGGUACCCUGGUAGUCCAUACUGUAAAUAAUGAAAAAGAUGUGAAGCAAUUCUAAAAGGUAAGAACUUUUCCGCUUGAGUAGUACGAUCGCAAGAUUAAAAUUCAAAAAACUUGGCUGUUCACUGUUUUGAUUAGAGGAGCGUGUCGUUUAAUUCGAUAGUCCGCGAGAGACCUUACCCAAACUUGAAUCUCUCAUUGACAGGUAUUGCAUGGCCGUCGUCAAUUUGUGUAUUAAACAUAAAACAAAUUCAACCCAGUGGUUUGUCUAUUGGAUGAAGUCAGGUCUUAUUGUCCUAAUGUUUGGGGAUUAGAUGCGCUACAUUUUUUUAUACAAUGGGAAACUUUGAAUGUGAAACCCAAAAAUAAGAGUUCGGAAGGUGCCUGGAAUAUAACGGAAAGUUGGAUUUAAUAGUAAUUGAAAAGUAGAGCGUUUCAAUGAAAUUUAUUCAGUGUUAGUACAAAUUGCCCGUCGCCUUUGCUUAGAAAGGUUGUUUGGUUGCCCCUCAAGAGGGUUCCUAAUAUCUUCGAGGUAGAGUAAGUCGUAACA